AUCACCUGUGGAUCUUUGUUAAAAUGCGGAUUCUGAUCCACCAUUUGUGGGAUGCGGUCAGAGAGUCUGCAUUUCUAACAAGUUCCCAGGUGAUGCUGA
rnacentral:pre_miRNA from 1 species